rnacentral:misc_RNA from 1 species
GGGGCUAGCUUUGGGGCAACUUCGAAAUCGUCAAAGCCAAAGUCCCGAACUGCACGACGCUACUGACUAAAUGACCAUGUGAGAGUAUUACCAGCCAGAAGUAACAACUGAUGAAAAAAAUAGCCAAACAUUAUGAAAAACCUCGGCCUAUAUCUCCGAGGAGAGGCCAAUUUCUUAGUCAUCGACAGUUUAAAGUCAGAUAAUAUUCCAC